rnacentral:tRNA from 3 species
GUCCCCGUCGAUUAGUGGUUAGAUCAUCACGUUGUGGCUUGAGUAGCAGCAAUCCGUGAAGACGCAGGCUCGACUCCUGCCAGGGACA